rnacentral:lncRNA from 1 species
GGAGAUACCGUACCAUAUCAGCCAUACACAAGGGUUAAGUUUGAUGAGUUUGUACCAGAAGAUGGUUUCAUCACAUUGUUGCUUUCAUCCAGAAAGCUCCUUUAAGUUUACAGCUUUGCGGAAACACAAGCGGGACAAAGAAUUUGCGUAUGUGCUGCAGAUGAAGAUCUUUGCUUCUAUUUAGUUAAGUUGUUUCAUUUUCAAGGUGAAUGAAAACAAAAGUGCAAAGUACAGAACGAUGCUUAAUCUUCACGUUGAUGGUGAUACCGAGUUGAUCCAUGAUCUAGCACACUCGUAUUUGGUGCGACUAGACACACGGAAGUGGACUGGAAAAUGGUUCAAGCUAAAAAGGGCAUAACUUUCAUUACGUUUGAAGUUAUAUGGGGAUAAGAGACUAAUAAAGUCAUUGAAAAGAGAUUCCCUGCCGUGAAUACCCAAUCACCGGAGGGAAAACAACAUCGUACCACCAUCUUCACAUCCUACCGGAUUUCU